rnacentral:rRNA from 1 species
AUUGAACGCUGGCGGCAGGCCUAACACAUGCAAGUCGAGCGGAUGAAGGGAGCUUGCUCCUGGAUUCAGCGGCGGACGGGUGAGUAAUGCCUAGGAAUCUGCCUGGUAGUGGGGGAUAACGUCCGGAAACGGGCGCUAAUACCGCAUACGUCCUGAGGGAGAAAGUGGGGGAUCUUCGGACCUCACGCUAUCAGAUGAGCCUAGGUCGGAUUAGCUAGUUGGUGGGGUAAAGGCCUACCAAGGCGACGAUCCGUAACUGGUCUGAGAGGAUGAUCAGUCACACUAGAACUGAGACACGGUCCAGACUCCUACGGGAGGCAGCAGUGGGGAAUAUUGGACAAUGGGCGAAAGCCUGAUCCAGCCAUGCCGCGUGUGUGAAGAAGGUCUUCGGAUUGUAAAGCACUUUAAGUUGGGAGGAAGAGCAGUAAGUUAAUACCUUGCUGUUUUGACGUUACCAACAGAAUAAGCACCGGCUAACUUCGUG